UACGAAGGGGGCGAGCGUUGUUCGGAAUUACUGGGCGUAAAGGGCGCGCAGGCGGCCUUAGAAGUCAGAUGUGAAAGCCCCGGGCUCAACCUGGGAAUGGCAUUUGAUACUCUGAGGCUGGAGUACGGGAGAGGAGAGUGGAAUUCCCAGUGUAGAGGUGAAAUUCGUAGAUAUUGGGAAGAACACCGGUGGCGAAGGCGGCUCUCUGGACCGUAACUGACGCUGAGGCGCGAAAGCUAGGGGAGCAAACAGG
rnacentral:rRNA from 1 species